CCUUUUGGUUCAUGGGUCAACGCUCAACCACUGAGCAACACCAGUCAGUGUUGACCUGGAGAGUUUUGAAGGGUCUGGAUCACCACUGUGUUUUGUUUUUCUACACGUGCUUUUCUCCCUCAAGCUCCCUCCCUCCUGCACUUCGAUUUGGAAUAUAGUAAAUCUGAGUUGCAGUACUGAGUCUGCCAAUUGCAGUGUCACCUUGGUCAAGUCACUUAACCUCUCUGAACCACCUUCCUCAACUGGCAAAUGAGGGAGUGACUGAGAAGAUUCCUAAGGCCCUUCCAGCUUUCUCCGUCUCCUCUCUCAAGCACCAGGCUCCUGUCCCACAGUCUUUUCUCAGAAGCAGCUAUUGCAGGGUAAGGAUCAGAGAGACCUAGUGUUGGGACCCAGUUUCCACUGGGACUGGCUAUGUGAACUUGGAGGUCAGUAUUGGCAGCUCCCAUCACUCACUGCUCUGCCUGCCCCACUUCCCCCAGCAUCCAGCCUGGGCUGGGUGAAGCUGCUCCAGAAGGAAGGUGUGUGGCAGCAGGCACUGUCUGGGCCAUGGAGGCUGGAGCUGGGUGGCUGCCUACAGUUAGAAUCCCAUGUGUCUGGGGAGCACUCCGCCUGGGUAGUCCAGUCCUAGCUUCCAGCCCUGCAUCACCAUCUGGUUCUGCCUGGGGAUUCUCAGAGGUCACUGGAGGAGGAGGCUGAAGACUCACAAAUACUUCAAAUUUUUUUUUUUAUGUAACAUCUUUCUUGUAAGUCUAUUCCCCUCUCAUAACAAAAGUAUUGUGUAUUA